rnacentral:lncRNA from 1 species
UCUCAAUUCAAUAUUUAAAAUAGUUAAACAUCUAUAAACAGUCUAAGCAUGAGUAAAUAAGCCAAAGACUAAGCAAAAGAUUUUAUAAUGUGCGGAAUAUAGCCCAAACACAGCCCAAUAUCGGGGUGUCACAAGUCACGAGCAUCUACUAAGGUCUAAAAUACAACUAAGUUCUGAAAUAGGCUAAAUACAUUCCAAGGACAUCAAGAGGGAGAAAAGCAGUGUUGUGAACGCCGGCAACUACCUUGCUAAACUCCAAUGACUCUGCCUCCGAUAAGCCAAUACCCGCUAUCGGGUUCAGAAAUACUUGAAUCUGCACACAAGGUGCAGGGAGUAAAGUGAGUACUCCAACUCAGUGAGCAACAAUCAUAACUAAAGUCUGAAUGGUAAGAAAUCACGAAAAGUGCAUCAACAUGCUGUAUAGAAGCAGUUCAAAAACUAGUAAGAAAGCAAUGAAGCUGUAAAAUCUCUUUAAAAUAUCUUAGCUCAGUUUAAACUUCUUUGAAAAUGACUUUUUCAACAGUUGCGCAAAUGAAUGCAAAAUAAUUAGUGCAGAUAAGCACAGAAAUCCGCCCCUCGGGCACAAAUACACAAUUAAACGGGUACAUGAUAGGCAAAUAAGAAAGAUAAGCACAUAAGAUUCGCCCCUCGGGCACAAUGUCAACAAAUCCGCCCCUCGGGCAAUAUCUCAGAACAAUACCAGCCCCUUGGGCAAUCACAUUGAACAAAACCAGCCCCUCGAGCUAUAUCUCACAUCACAAUGGGUAGCCGCGCUCACUGGGGGUGUGCAGACUCCUGGAGGGGCCCCUCAUGGCAAUAUCAAGCCAUCUCGUGGCAUCAUCUCUAGGCUCUCGGCCUCAUAUUAACAAGCCACCUCGUGGCGUACAUAUCUCAGGCUUUCAGUCUCAUAAUUAAAGUCUGUGUAUCACCGUUGCGGCAUGCAGCCCGACCCAAAAGAUAUCCUUACAACACAGGCCCUCGGCCUUACUCAUUCAAAAAUCACAUAAGCCACUCGGGCAACAGUAAAACAUGAUGCUCAGCCCAAAAUAUUAUUUGAAAUAUCAUUUCAAGUGUUAAAGCAAAAUAAAAUGGCUGAGUUUUGAAAAUAGUGGAAAAUAACAUGAAUGAGUUUAAACAUAAAAUCAAAACAGUGAGGAAACAUCAACAAAAAUCCCCGAAGGGUUCAAAUAGUUGGCAUGAAGCCCAAAUAUGGCAUUCGGCCCAAAUAAUGAUGAUAACAAAUAGAUUUCAGUCAAAUACGCGGUAAGAUCAUCAAUCGGGACGGACCAAGUCACAAUCCCCAAUAGUGAACGACCCCACGCUCGUCGUCAAGCAUGUGUCUCACUUCAAUAUAGCACUACGAUGUGCAAUCUGGAGUUUCAAACCCUCAGAACAUCAUUUACAAUCAUUACGCACCUCGAUCAGGUCCGAACCCAAGCCUACGAUGCCUUGCCCGCACGAAUCGACCUCCAAAUGCUCCAAAUCUAGCCACAAUCAGUACAUAACAAUUAAAAUAUGCUAAGGGAACAAAGCCCACUCGAAAAUAUCCAACUUACAUCAAAAAUCUCGAAAUUGCUCAAACCCGACCCCCC